CUUGCCUUCAGUGAGAGUUGUCUGGAAGAUUCUCCUCACCCAUGGAGAACAUCUCUUCUCUGUACUGGAGGAGGCCUAGGCACUAAGCCCCAGCGUCAUAGUGAGGUUACUGGGACAAUGAAGAGCUUAUUCUGUGAGAUCCAUGGUUGAACAGCUUGCCCUGUCUCCUCCUGAGGUCAGCUCCUGCUGGUCCUGCCAUAUGGAUGGCACACAUGACUUUUACUGCACUGCCCAAGUAUGCUGGUUCAUGGCUGCCCGCCUCAACCCUGCCACCAGAGCUGCACCACUACCAUGACUGCUCCAGAUUCUCUGCUGCAAGUGCAAGGAGCUGAAGGAAAUUGAAAAGUCUCAGAGAUGAAGCUCAUCCUUAAGGAAGGUCGCCUGUAGGUAAAAGGAAGGAAGAAGGGGUGGAGGAAGAGGGCAACUGCACCCUUCCCCCAGUAAUGCAGCCCUGGGGAAGUUCUCAGCUGUAGGCUGAUGGAGUGAGGCAGGCAGGAUGCUGGACAUCUUCAAUAGAUGCAAUAUCUUGGCAAAUCAACUAACAUAAAUGUUUACAACAAAACACACUACUGUCAGAGAAAGAGGAAGAACAUUUGCCAAAGCUCCUACAACAGUUAUGUUAUUGGAACCACUUGUUCUCCAGUUUUGACCAUUUGUUUCCCAUCAUGCGACCACAGAUUAUGAAACCAGAAGCAGCACAGGUGCAGAGUUCAUUCAAGGUGGAGAAGGAAGAGAUAAGAAAUGAAAUAAACAAAUCAUUGCUUGCACUGCUGUACAAAGGCACAAAGCAUAUGACUCACUGUCACAGGUAAAAAGGUUUAUGUGGGGAGCAAAUGACAUUAUUGCCACACUGGAUGGGGGAGGACAGAAAAUUAGCUUUAGAAAGCUUCAAUUCACUUUCCAGAAUAUAAAAUACAUCCAGACAUCCUAACUGGUAGUAUUUUGGCUCAGAAAAAGUAGAAAAUCAAAUGCGGUCAU